rnacentral:rRNA from 1 species
UAUCUCUGUAGAGUCUGCAUAUCAAUAAGCGGAGGAAAAGAAACUAACAAGGAUUCCCUUAGUAACGGCGAGUGAAGCGGGAAGAGCUCAAAUUUGAAAUCUUCAAGGUUCUACCUUGACGAAUUGUAGUUUAAAGAAGUGUUUUCUGUUAGAUGAGUAGCAAAAGUUCCUUGGAAUGGGACAUCAUAGAGGGUGAGAAUCCCGUAUUUGGUUAUUCAUUCUAGCUUUGUGAUACACUUUCAAAGAGUCGGAUUGUUUGGGAAUGCAGUCCAAAAUGGGUGGUAAAUUUCAUCUAAAGCUAAAUAUUGGCGAGAGACCGAUAGCGAACAAGUACCGUGAGGGAAAGAUGAAAAGAACUUUGAAAAGAGAGUUAAACAGUACGUGAAAUUGUCAAAAGGGAAGCGUUUGACACCAGUGUUGUUUUUCCGAAAAUCAAUUACGAAUGGCUUGAUUUUGUGUUGUAUUGACCUUAUCAGCUUUCUUCACUUUUUUCGAGUCUUUCUUAAUGCACUUUUCGGUUAACAAGUCAACAUCGAUUUCUUUUGUUGUAAAAGAGUAUUCGGAAGGUGGCUUUCUUUUCGGAGAAAGUGUUUAUAGCCCUAUACUUCUACAAUCGGAGAGAUUGAGGUCUGCAGCGUAGAUCCUUCGGGGUUAGAUACACUUGUGCUAAGUUGUAGCUUUUCAUAGACAACUUGUUGACUAUGUUUAGUCAUGCGGCUUACUCGCCUGUGCUAUUUUACCUACGCUUAGGAUGUUGAACUACUGAGACAUAGA